rnacentral:rRNA from 1 species
GAUCAUUAACGUGCUACGGAGGUCUCCUCGAAGGGGGGGAUCUACGUCUGCCCACCCUUGGUUACCUGACCUGUUGCUUUGGCGGGCCUGUCGCGAGGCGGCCUGGAAAACUUGAGUUUUUGGGCUCGUGUCCGCCAGAGUUUCACUAAAUUCUGGAUAAAAAGGUUGUGCUGUCUGAGCGUGCAAGCGCAAAUUUAUACAAAACUUUCAACAACGGAUCUCUUGGUUCCGGCAUCGAUGAAGAACGCAGCGAAAUGCGAUAAGUAAUGUGAAUUGCAGAAUUCCGUGAAUCAUCGAAUCUUUGAACGCAUAUUGCGCCCUCUGGUAUUCCGGAGGGUAUGCCUGUCCGAGCGUCAUUUUCACUUUCAAGCACGGCUUGUGUUGGGCUCUUGUUCCUUAUAGGACAGGCCUGAAAUGCAGCAGCAGUACCUUAAUCUGGUGCCCGAGUGUAUGGGGCUUUGUCACACGCUCCGGUGGCCUAGGUUGGUACUCGCUUUUUGACAGGGGGGUUUUUUUUUUUGUAAAUCCACCCAUUCCAGUUGGCCUCGGAUCAGGUAGGGAUACCCGCUGAACUUAAGCAUAUCAAUAAGCGGAGGAAAAGAAACCAACAGGGAUUGCCUCAGUAACGGCGAGUGAAGCGGCAAAAGCUCAAAUUUGAAAUCUGGCUUCCAAGUCUGGAGCCCGAGUUGUAAUUUGCAGAGGAUGCUUCGGGUGUGGCUGCGGUCUAAGUUCCCUGGAACGGGGCGUCAUAGAGGGUGAGAAUCCCGUCUGGGACCGCUGGCUCCGCCCGUGUAAAGCUCCUUCGACGAGUCGAGUUGUUUGGGAAUGCAGCUCUAAAUGGGUGGUAAAUUUCAUCUAAAGCUAAAUAUUGGCCGGAGACCGAUAGCGCACAAGUAGAGUGAUCGAAAGAUGAAAAGCACUUUGAAAAGAGAGUUAAACAGCAUGUGAAAUUGUUGAAAGGGAAGCGCUUGCGACCAGACUCGCUCGCAGAGGCUCAGCCGGCAUGCUUUGGCGGUGCAUUCUUCUGCGGUCGGGCCAGCGUCGGUUCUGACGGUUGGUUAAAGGCCUCCGGAAUGUGUCGUCCUUCGGGGCGGCCUUACAGCCGGGGGUGCAAUGCGA